rnacentral:lncRNA from 1 species
GGUCAUCUUGCAGCUACGUAAGCCUUAUUAUGUCAUUUAGGAGAGAACUUAGCUAACUGUAGGUCAUUGUUUUAUUAAAUAGGUCAUUUUGGAGCUAACUAAGCUAAUUAUGUCAUUUCGUGGGAUAAUUAGCCAAUUUAGCCUUUCUUGGAAGAGUCUAAGCUACGUAGAAGAAGAGAAAGAGAAGAAGAAGUAAAAGAAGGAGG